UGGAUCUCAAAUCAGACAAGACGACCCGCUGAAUUUAAG
rnacentral:rRNA from 2 species